GGGGAAUAUUGGACAAUGGGCGAAAGCCUGAUCCAGCCAUGCCGCGUGUGUGAAGAAGGUCUUCGGAUUGUAAAGCACUUUAAGUUGGGAGGAAGGGCUGUAGGCUAAUAUCCUGCAGUUUUGACGUUACCAACAGAAUAAGCACCGGCUAACUUCGUGCCAGCAGCCGCGGUAAUACGAAGGGUGCAAGCGUUAAUCGGAAUUACUGGGCGUAAAGCGCGCGUAGGUGGUUGGGUAAGUUGAAUGUGAAAGCCCCGGGCUCAACCUGGGAACUGCAUCCAAAACUGCCCGACUAGAGUACGGUAGAGGGUGGUGGAAUUUCCUGUGUAGCGGUGAAAUGCGUAGAUAUAGGAAGGAACACCAGUGGCGAAGGCGACCACCUGGACUGAGACUGACACUGAGGUGCGAAAGCGUGGGGAGCAAAC
rnacentral:rRNA from 1 species